AAAUUGAAGAGUUUGAUCAUGGCUCAGAUUGAACGCUGGCGGCAGGCCUAACACAUGCAAGUCGAACGGUAACAGGAAGCAGCUUGCUGCUUCGCUGACGAGUGGCGGACGGGUGAGUAAUGUCUGGGAAACUGCCUGAUGGAGGGGGAUAACUACUGGAAACGGUGGCUAAUACCGCAUAACGUCGCAAGACCAAAGAGGGGGACCUUCGGGCCUCUUGCCAUCAGAUGUGCCCAGAUGGGAUUAGCUAGUUGGUGAGGUAACGGCUCACCAAGGCGACGAUCCCUAGCUGGUCUGAGAGGAUGACCAGCCACACUGGAACUGAGACACGGUCCAGACUCCUACGGGAGGCAGCAGUGGGGAAUAUUGCACAAUGGGCGCAAGCCUGAUGCAGCCAUGCCGCGUGU
rnacentral:rRNA from 3 species